rnacentral:tRNA from 1 species
GAAGGUAUAGCUCAGUGGUAGAGUGCAUGCUUAGCAUGCAUGAGUCCCCAGUACUGCCAUUAAAAAACAAAACAAAACAAUAGUAAACUAAAUAAAUAAACCUAAUUACCUCCU